GUAAAACCGGAAACUAGGAUUUGCUCCUGACCCUGCUACAGAAACGUCACGCUGUACGGACACCCCCGCACUGCCUUGUUCCUCCCCAAAUCCAUCCAAGAAAAGGUGGCUCUAACAACCAGCGCUCAGCAAAAUCUGCGAAAGAUCCCGACGAUUCGAGGGGCGCGGGGGAAACGUGAGAGGUCGGCGGGAGGGGGCAAGAUUCGCCAUGGGGCGGAGCAGGAAGGACUCGCUGGCGGUGGACGGCUCCGGCGAUCCGGCGGCGGCGGUAGAGGAGGAGGAGGUGGAGGAAGAGGAGCAGAGUGAGGAGGGCGAGGAGGAGGAGGAGGAAUGGGAGGAAGAGGAAGAGGAGGAGAGGGAAGGUGGGGAGGAGAAGGCUUCUGGGGAGACGGCGGCGCAGGAGGGGGUGGAGGGGUCGCCGCCGAAGCUGGCCGAGGGGUUCUUCGAGAUCGAGGCCAUCCGCCGCCGCCGCCUCCGCAAGGGCAAGCUUCAGUACCUCGUCAAAUGGCGUGGGUGGCCAGAGAGUGCUAACACAUGGGAGCCCCUCGAAAACCUGAAGGCCUGCUCAGACAUUGUUGAUGCUUUCGAGAAGCGGUCGCGGUCACCAAGGUCCUCUCGGAAGCGCAAGCGCAAGGCCACAACUACUCCAACAACUGAUCCUAACCCUUCUUCUCGCGGUAAACGGGGUCGUCCGCCUCGGUCAGAGGCCCGGUCCCUGCCACGCCCUCCUGCCCCAGAGCCCAAGAUAUUGCCCUGCAGGACAAGUAGUAGGAGAGCCAGUAAUAAUAGUAACAAGACGGUCAAGACCUCAUUUGUGGGGCUUGAGGCAUCAGUGAAUGUGCUUGGGCAAAGAGUAGUACAGGAGGGUAGUUCCGGUGUGGUCUCGGACGGUCUUCCAUCUCAAGGGGCUCCUCUAUCUGUUAGCUUGACUGACCAACAAGACGAGCAUCACCCUGUAAAUAAUUUAUCAAAGGUGGACAAUUCAGUACGGGCACCCCCAUCUCAGGGUGGCCAGGUGACUGGUGCCAAGAAGCGCAAGUCUGGAUGUGUGAGGAGGUUCAAGCAGGAUGAAGCAACACAAGAGCAAGGAGAUCUUCGUGAUCACACAAGUGAGAAGCCAGGCAACGAGUAUGUUGAUUCCACAGAAGGAGAAACCGGUGAUAAGAACAAGGGGGAGGAUUGUGCCAGCCAAAUUCAUAUCACUAAGAUCAUCAAGCCAGUGCGCUAUUUUGCCACCGUUUUGGAUGGUGUGCAACAAGUUUCAAUAACGUUUAAGGCACUCAGGAUGGGCGAACAAGGGAUGUCAUUCUUCAAACUGUUGAAGAAACACGAUCGGUUCGAGUGGACGGAAGAAGCGGAGAACGCCUUCAAGUACUUAAAAAGGUAUUUAUCGUCUCCAUUAAUUCUUACCCCGUCUAAUGAAACAAAGCUCUUUGUAUAUUGUAGUUACAGUUCUGGUGGUCGAACGGGAAUGUCUCGAGAAAAAGGCCAAGAAACAUGUUUACUAUGCGCAUAAGGUCACUAUCAUGACGGCGUAUCUAUUGAAGGAUGUCAUGAGUUUGACGUACACUAUGCAUCAUGCACAAGCAUGAAAUUGGGAGUACUGGCGAAAUUCAUCACCGAAUGGACAAGCAUUGACGAAACUAAGCCAAGUGUGGUCGAGGACCACUGGACGUUCUUCUUUGAUGGAUCGUUCACGUUUCAAGGCUCGGGGACUGGCAUCAUACUGAAAUCUUCGACGGGCGACGAACUUAGCUGCGUCACUUGGAAUCAAACAACUUCUCGUGAAAGAGGACUCACAGCUAGUCGUAAACCAAGUACAAAAGGAGUACUAGUGUUCGGACGGGCGACGAACUUAGGUCCGACGGAGAGGAGGUAUUUGUGGAUGACAAGGAGUUGAAAGCUAACAACCCCUUGGUGCUUAUAGAUUACUAUGAGCAGCAUCUUCGUUAUAACCCCACCUCGUGAGAACGUGCAUUGAAGCUACUGGGUUUCAGUUGCCUGCGCUGCUCUAUGUCUGGAACGAAUGGAGAAUUUAAUGUAGCAGUUUUGUGCUAGGUAUAUUUGUAGCUCUAUUUAGUAGAUGGUUAGUAGUGGUUGUGCGGAGUGCAAGCAAAUAAUAAUGGUAUGUUAUGUCAAACUAACGGUGUAUUAUAUCCUGAGAAGUUAGUUGCUUCAUUGUACCCUCUGCGCUGGUUAUUAUUAGAGUUUUGUGAUCUGACGACUGAACUGUCUGAUGGCAAGCAUUUUCGCAAGUCUGAAUCAACUCUACCAUGUGCUUUGCACCAUUUGGUUCUAUUUAAGCUUAUUUGUUCUGCA